rnacentral:rRNA from 1 species
UACGGAGGGAGCUAGCGUUGUUCGGAAUUACUGGGCGUAAAGCGCGCGUAGGCGGUCUAUUAAAGUUGGGGGUGAAAAUUCCCGGGAGCCUCAACUCCGGAAACUGCCUCCCAAAACUGCUAGACUCGAGUUCGGAAGAGGUAAGUAGAAUUCCCAGUGUAGAGGUGAAAUUCGUAGAUAAUGGGAAAGAAUACCAGUGGCGGAAAGGC